CCUACGGGUGGCAGCAGUGGGGGAUAUUGCACAAUGGGGGAAACCCUGAUGCAGCGACGCCGCGUGUGGGAAGACGGUCCUCUGGAUUGUAAACCACUGUCCCCAGGGACGAAGAUGACGGUACCUGGGGAGGAAGCUCCGGCUAACUACGUGCCAGCAGCCGCGGGAAUACGUAGGGAGCGAGGGUUGUCCGGAAUUACUGGGUGAAAAGGGAGCGUAGGCGGGACUGCAAGUUGGGUGUCAAAUCUACCGGCUCAACCGGUCGCCGCACUCAAAACUGCAGUUCUUGAGUGAAGUAGAGGCAGGCGGAAUUCCUAGUGUAGCGGUGAAAUGCGUAGAUAUUAGGAGGAACACCAGUGGCGAAGGCGGCCUGCUGGGCUUUUACUGACGCUGAGGCUCGAAAGUGUGGGGAGCAAACAGGAUUAGAUACCCGGGUAGUC
rnacentral:rRNA from 1 species